GAACGCUGGCGGCAUGCUUAACACAUGCAAGUCGAACGGAUUAAUAUGGAUUGCCAUAUUAGUUAGUGGCAAACGGGUGAGUAACGCGUGGGAAUCUACCUAGAAGUAUGGAAUAACAAUUAGAAAUGAUUGCUAAUACCGUAUGUGCUUUGAGAAGUAAAGAUUUAUCGCUUCUAGAUGAGCCCGCGUUAGAUUAGCUAGUUGGUGGGGUAAUGGCCUACCAAGGCAACGAUCUAUAGCUGGUCUGAGAGGAUGAUCAGCCACACUGGGACUGAGACACGGCC
rnacentral:rRNA from 1 species